CUUGUACACACCGCCCGUCACACCAUGGGAGUCGGAAAUGCCCGAAGCCGGUGACCAAACCAAUAAGGAAGGAGCCGUCGAAGGCAGGUCUGAUAACUGGGGUGAAGUCGUAACAAGGUAUC
rnacentral:rRNA from 1 species